CAGGCGCUGGCCCGGUUCUCCAGCCACACGCAACGCAGCAUCAGCCGCAGGCUGGUCCUGAGACAGGACCCCUCCGUGAAGAGAACCGUCUGCAAAUCCUGCUCCUCCCUCUUGGUGCCUGGCGUCAGCGCCACCGUGCGGCAGAGAAGUCGCCGCGGCCGGCGCUGGACGGUCGUGCGGUGGCUC